rnacentral:rRNA from 1 species
UACGUAGGGGGCGAGCGUUGUCCGGAUUUAUUGGGCGUAAAGAGCGUGUAGGCGGCCAGGUAGGUCUGCUGUGAAAACUCGAGGCUCAACCUCGAGACGUCGGUGGAAACCGCAUGGCUAGAGUCCGGAAGAGGAGAGUGGAAUUCCCGGUGUAGCGGUGAAAUGCGCAGAUAUCGGGAAGAACACCCGUGGCGAAGGCGGCUCUCUGGGACGGUACUGACGCUGAGACGCGAAAGCGUGGGGAGCGAACAGG